AACGAACGCUGGCGGCAUGCCUAACACAUGCAAGUCGAACGAGACCCUCGGGUCUAGCGGCGCACGGGUGCGUAACGCGUGGGAACCUGCCCUUAGGUUCGGAAUAACUCCCCGAAAGGGGUGCUAAUACCGGAUAAUGUCUUCGGACCAAAGAUUUAUCGCCUUUGGAUGGGCCCGCGUUGGAUUAGCUAGUUGGUAGGGUAAAAGCCUACCAAGGCGACGAUCCAUAGCUGGUCUGAGAGGAUGAUCAGCCACACUGGGACUGAGACACGGCCCAGACUCCUACGGGAGGCAGCAGUGGGGAAUAUUGGACAAUGGGCGAAAGCCUGAUCCAGCAAUGCCGCGUGAGUGAUGAAGGCCUUAGGGUUGUAAAGCUCUUUUACCCGGGAUGAUAAUGACAGUACCGGGAGAAUAAGCUCCGGCUAACUCCGUG
rnacentral:rRNA from 1 species